CUCAUGUUAAUUCAUCUAGAAGGGAUGAUGGGAUUCGGUCAAAGUCUAAAUCAGAUAGCGGAGAUGUUAAGGUUGUGCUAAUUGAUAAGAAAACAAAUGGUUCGAAUAGGUUACAUGAUGAUCAGAUAGAGAAAAAGCAAAUAGAGAAUCAGAUCGAGAAAAAGAAUGUAGAGAAUUGUGAAGUUGCUGUUAUAAGGCAUCCUCAGAUUGAGAGAACGAAGACAGAGAAGUGUGAUGUUUCAGUUUGUAGUCAUCCGGGUUGGGGAAGGGUGCCAAAGAGUUUGGAAGCAGAGCAGGUUGCGGCAGGAUGGCCAUCUUGGCUUGCCUCAGCAGCUGGAGAAGCUAUCAGGGGAUGGGUGCCUCGGCGUGCUAAUACAUUUGAGAAAUUAGAUAGAAUUGGCCAAGGAACUUACAGUAAUGUUUACAAGGCCCGUGAUGCCACUUAUGAUAAAAUUGUAGCUAUAAAAAAGGUUCGGUUUGAUAAUAGUGAUCCAGAAAGCAUCAAAUUUAUGGCCCGUGAAAUUCAUAUUUUGCGUAGGCUGGAUCAUCCCAAUAUAAUUAAAUUGGAAGGCUUGAUAACAUCUCAGACAUCUUCAAGUUUGUACCUUGUCUUCGAAUACAUGGAACAUGAUCUUACUGGACUUGCCUCACUUCCUGGCAUCAAGUUCACAGAACCACAGAUCAAAUGCUACAUGCAGCAACUUUUAAGUGGACUUGAUCAUUGCCAUAGUCACGGUUUUCUGCAUCGUGAUAUAAAGGGUUCUAAUCUUCUUAUUGAUGACAAUGGCAUCUUGAAAAUUGCGGAUUUUGGCUUAGCAAGUUUCUUUGAUCCUAAAGGUAGUGCUCAAUUGACAA
rnacentral:misc_RNA from 1 species